UCCCAGGCAAAUCCGGGAUAAGAGUCGAACCUGACAGUAUACCAAUUUCCUCGGAAAACGGUAAUAGUGCGUGUAAACAUACUCCCAAGAAAAUCCGCUAAACUUAAUCUUAAUGGUACCCGUACCGCAAACGGACACACGUAGUCGGGUUGAAUAUACUCAGGCGCUUGAGUGAAUCACGGUUAAGGAACUAGGCAAAUUGACCCUGUAACUUCGGGAUAAAGGGUCCCUACCCGGUGACGGGAGGGCGCAGAGAAUAGGUCCAGGCAACUGUUUAACAAAAACACAGGGCUGUGCAAAAUUGAAAGAUCACGUAUACAGCCUGACACCUGCCCGGUGCUGGAAGGUUAAGAGGAGAUGUCAUCGCAAGAGAAGCAUUGAAUUGAAGCCCCAGUAAACGGCGGCCGUAACUAUAACGGUCCUAAGGUAGCGAAAUUCCUUGUCGGGUAAGUUCCGACCUGCACGAAUGGUGUAAUGAUCUGGACACUGUCUCAACCGUGAGCUCAGUGAAAUUGUAGUAUCGGUGAAGAUGCCGAUUACCCGCGAUGGGACGAAAAGACCCCGUGAACCUUUACUAUAGCUUAACAUUGAAUUUGGGUAAUUGAUGUGUAGGAUAGGCCGGAGACUUUGAAGCAGGUACGCCAGUAUUUGUGGAGUCGCUGUUGAAAUACGGCCCUUUGAUUAUUUGAGUUCUAACUCGCUGUUGCGAGGACACUGUUUGGUGGGUAGUUUGACUGGGGUGGUCGCCUCCAAAAGUGUAACGGAGGCUUCUAAAGGUGCCCUCACGCCGAUUGGUAACCGGCGGCAGAGUGUAAUGGCAUAAGGGCGCUUGACUGGGAGACUUACAAGUCGAUCAGGUAGGAAACUAGAGCAUAGUGAUCCGGUGUUUCCGUAUGGAAGGGACAUCGCUCAAAGGAUAAAAGGUACUCCGGGGA
rnacentral:rRNA from 1 species